rnacentral:tRNA from 1 species
UUGUCAGGUCGUCUAACAGGUAGGACACGACCCUUUGAAGGUUGCGAUACAGGUUCGAACCCUGUCCUGACAGU